rnacentral:rRNA from 1 species
GGCCUAACACAUGCAAGUCGAGCGGGGGAAGGUAGCUUGCUACUGGACCUAGCGGCGGACGGGUGAGUAAUGCUUAGGAAUCUGCCUAUUAGUGGGGGACAACAUCUCGAAAGGGAUGCUAAUACCGCAUACGUCCUACGGGAGAAAGCAGGGGAUCUUCGGACCUUGCGCUAAUAGAUGAGCCUAAGUCGGAUUAGCUAGUUGGUGGGGUAAAGGCCUACCAAGGCGACGAUCUGUAGCGGGUCUGAGAGGAUGAUCCGCCACACUGGGACUGAGACACGGCCCAGACUCCUACGGGAGGCAGCAGUGGGGAAUAUUGGACAAUGGGCGCAAGCCUGAUCCAGCCAUGCCGCGUGUGUGAAGAAGGCCUUAUGGUUGUAAAGCACUUUAAGCGAGGAGGAGGCUACUUUAGAUAAUACCUAGAGAUAGUGGACGUUACUCGCAGAAUAAGCACCGGCUAACUCUGUGCCAGCAGCCGCGGCAAUACAGAGGGUGCAAGCGUUAAUCGGAUUUACUGGGCGUAAAGCGCGCGUAGGCGGCUAAUUAAGUCAAAUGUGAAAUCCCCGAGCUUAACUUGGGAAUUGCAUUCGAUACUGGUUAGCUAGAGUGUGGGAGAGGAUGGUAGAAUUCCAGGUGUAGCGGUGAAAUGCGUAGAGAUCUGGAGGAAUACCGAUGGCGAAGGCAGCCAUCUGGCCUAACACUGACGCUGAGGUGCGAAAGCAUGGGGAGCAAACAGGAUUAGAUACCCUGGUAGUCCAUGCCGUAAACGAUGUCUACUAGCCGUUGGGGCCUUUGAGGCUUUAGUGGCGCAGCUAACGCGAUAAGUAGACCGCCUGGGGAGUACGGUCGCAAGACUAAAACUCCAAUGAAUUGACGGGGGCC